AAGAGAGCCGAGAGAAGUUUCACUGGGGCCACUUCCCUUUGCUCAGGAUCUGUGUUCAGGCUUCAGAGCUUGAUUCUGCCUUUAGCUUGUUGUAGCUACAUCGCCCACUACUCUCCCCCAAAGUUAUCAAGAUCCCAUUUCUGCAAGUGAACUGAGGCUGAAGCACACCUUUUCCUGCACAGAGCAUCAUGGUGUCUACCUGCAUGGACACCUACAUCAGCAGAGGUAGGACAGGACCAGCCAGAUGGAAGGCAGACAAGUCAUCCAAGUGACAGUGGGAGAACUUCUGGUGGAUGGUCCCCCUUCCUGACACAACCCUCUACUGCAUUCUGCCAGGAAAGUACUACAUAAAUAUAUGCCACUGCCUCAACCUGCAGGUCUUCUGGAAGUUAAAAGGAGUUUUAUUAUCGGUUUAAAUGGGCAAAGAUUUAAGACAGUGCUGAGAACUCUGACAGUCCCACCACUCUUUUAUAUGUGAUGACAAUUUGCUUUGAAAUCCUUAUAAACAGACUGAGCUCAGGAGCUGCAGCUGAAUGCAGUAUGAAAUUAAUCAGGUCAUCU